rnacentral:lncRNA from 1 species
AAUCAAUAGAGGAAGGGUAAUCAAUAGAGGAAGGUGAUCAAUAGAGGAAGGUAGUCAAUAGAGGAAGGUAGUCAAUAGGGGAAGGGUAAUCAAUAAAGGUAGUCAAUAGAGGAAGGGUAAUCAAUAGAGGAAAGUAAUAGAGGAAGGGUAAUCAAUAGAGGAAGGUGAUCAAUAGAGGAAGGUAGUCAAUAGAGGAAGGUAGUCAAUAGGGGAAGGGUAAUCAAUAGAGGAAAGUAAUCUUUUUUAUUGAGACAGUCUUGCUCUGCCACCCAGGCUGGAGUGUGGUGGCCUU